rnacentral:rRNA from 1 species
GACGAACGCUGGCGGCGUGCCUAAUACAUGCAAGUAGAACGCUGAAGGAGGAGCUUGCUUCUCUGGAUGAGUUGCGAACGGGUGAGUAACGCGUAGGUAACCUGCCUGGUAGCGGGGGAUAACUAUUGGAAACAAUAGCUAAUACCGCAUAAUAGUAGAUGUUGCAUGACAUUUACUUAAAAGGUGCAAUUGCAUCACUACCAGAUGGACCUGCGUUGUAUUAGCUAGUUGGUGGGGUAACGGCUCACCAAGGCGACGAUACAUAGCCGACCUGAGAGGGUGAUCGGCCACACUGGGACUGAGACACGGCCCAGACUCCUACGGGAGGCAGCAGUAGGGAAUCUUCGGCAAUGGACGAAAGUCUGACCGAGCAACGCCGCGUGAGUGAAGAAGGUUUUCGGAUCGUAAAGCUCUGUUGUAAGAGAAGAACGAGUGUGAGAGUGGAAAGUUCACACUGUGACGGUAUCUUACCAGAAAGGGACGGCUAACUACGUG